rnacentral:rRNA from 1 species
CCUUGCCGCCGGCGACCGGCGCACGGGUGAGUAACGCGUAUGCGACCUGCCCGUUGCAGGGGGAUAAUCGGGAGAAAUCCCGUCUAAUACCGCGUAACGCCGCGGGGCUGCAUGGCCCUGCGGCCAAAGGGAGCGAUUCCGGCAACGGAUGGGCAUGCGUGACAUUAGCUAGUUGGCGGGGCAACGGCCCACCAAGGCGACGAUGUCUAGGGGUUCUGAGAGGAAGGUCCCCCACACUGGUACUGAGACACGGACCAGACUCCUACGGGAGGCAGCAGUGAGGAAUAUUGGUCAAUGGGCGCGAGCCUGAACCAGCCAAGUCGCGUGAGGGAUGACGGCCCUACGGGUUGUAAACCUCUUUUGUCGGGGAGCAAAUUCCGUUACGUGUAACGGAGUCGAGAGUACCCGAAGAAAAAGCAUCGGCUAACUCCGUGCCAGCAGCCGCGGUAAUACGGAGGAUGCGAGCGUUAUCCGGAUUUAUUGGGUUUAAAGGGUGCGUAAGCGGACUGUCAAGUCAGCAGUAAAAUACGGGGGCUCAACCUCCGCCCGCCGUUGAAACUGACGGUCUUGAGUGGGCGAGAAGUAUGCGGAAUGCGUGGUGUAGCGGUGAAAUGCAUAGAUAUCACGCAGAACUCCGAUUGCGAAGGCAGCAUACCGGCGCCCAACUGACGCUGAAGCACGAAAGCGUGGGUAUCGAACAAGAUUAGAUACCCUGGUAGUCCACGCAGUAAACGAUGAAUACUAGCUGUCCGGGGCGA